UACAGAGGUGGCAAGCGUUGUUCGGAAUUACUGGGCGUAAAGGGCGCGUAGGCGGCCUUCUAAGUCAGACGUGAAAUCCCCCGGCUUAACCUGGGAACUGCGUCUGAUACUGGGAGGCUAGAGUAUGGGAGAGGGAUGUGGAAUUCCAGGUGUAGCGGUGAAAUGCGUAGAUAUCUGGAGGAACACCGGUGGCGAAAGCGGCGCACUGGACCACUUCUGACGCUGAGGCGCGAAAGCUAGGGGAGCAAACAGG
rnacentral:rRNA from 1 species